rnacentral:rRNA from 1 species
UCCCGAGUGCUUGCACUCAAUUGGAAAGAGGAGUGGCGGACGGGUGAGUAACACGUGGGUAACCUACCCAUCAGAGGGGGAUAACACUUGGAAACAGGUGCUAAUACCGCAUAACAGUUUAUGCCGCAUGGCAUAAGAGUGAAAGGCGCUUUCGGGUGUCGCUGAUGGAUGGACCCGCGGUGCAUUAGCUAGUUGGUGAGGUAACGGCUCACCAAGGCCACGAUGCAUAGCCGACCUGAGAGGGUGAUCGGCCACACUGGGACUGAGACACGGCCCAGACUCCUACGGGAGGCAGCAGUAGGGAAUCUUCGGCAAUGGACGAAAGUCUGACCGAGCAACGCCGCGUGAGUGAAGAAGGUUUUCGGAUCGUAAAACUCUGUUGUUAGAGAAGAACAAGGACGUUAGUAACUGAACGUCCCCUGACGGUAUCUAACCAGAAAGCCACGGCUAACUACGUGCCAGCAGCCGCGGUAAUACGUAGGUGGCAAGCGUUGUCCGGAUUUAUUGGGCGUAAAGCGAGCGCAGGCGGUUUCUUAAGUCUGAUGUGAAAGCCCCCGGCUCAACCGGGGAGGGUCAUUGGAAACUGGGAGACUUGAGUGCAGAAGAGGAGAGUGGAAUUCCAUGGGUUAGCG